rnacentral:rRNA from 1 species
AGUGAACGCUGGCGGUAGGCCUAACACGUGCAAGUCGGACGGCAGCACAGUAAGAGCUUGCUCUUACGGGUGGCGAGUGGCGGACGGGUGAGGAAUACAUCGGAAUCUACUUUUUCGUGGGGGAUAACGUAGGGAAACUUACGCUAAUACCGCAUACGACCUACGGGUGAAAGCAGGGGAUCUUCGGACCUUGCGCGAUUGAAUGAGCCGAUGUCGGAUUAGCUAGUUGGCGGGGUAAAGGCCCACCAAGGCGACGAUCCGUAGCUGGUCUGAGAGGAUGAUCAGCCACACUGGAACUGAGACACGGUCCAGACUCCUACGGGAGGCAGCAGUGGGGAAUAUUGGACAAUGGGCGCAAGCCUGAUCCAGCCAUACCGCGUGGGUGAAGAAGGCCUUCGGGUUGUAAAGCCCUUUUGUUGGGAAAGAAAAGCAGCAGGUUAAUACCCCGCUGUUCUGACGGUACCCAAAGAAUAAGCACCGGCUAACUUCGUG